GUCCCCGAUCGGGGCUGGCGGGCAGCGGGUCCGCUUGGGUCCGCGAUCCAGGCCGGGUUGUGGCCGCGUCCGCUUCUUUUCAGAGCUGGCAAUAAUCAAAGGAUGUAGAGAAGAUCUCAGCGAAUACUUGGAUGCUGCUCUGAAAAGAUUUUCAAGGUAUUUCAGGAAGUAUCAGACAGCAGGUGCAGAACAAUGAGGUAGUAUAAAUACGAAGACAGCAUCUGUGGCGGAUAAACAUCCCGAAGAGGCUCAGUUGCUGACUGGUGUUUAAGGAGGUGUUAUGGAUGAAAGCCUGGUGGUCAGCUUAACAUCAGCAGCAUUGAAUCUACAUGGUGCUGAGUGUGGAGAAAGAAGUUAAAAAGGACUUUGGCACUUUGGAGAUUCCGGGUUAAGCUCUCGGAGAAAAUAUGAAGGAAGCAAAUACAGCCUUCCGUUUCAUGCAACACAGCUAUUCAGUGUGGUCAGACACCGGUGCUGGGCAGUGGUCUAGAGGUGUUAAUGGGCACAGG